CAAUAACAAUUAGGGAUGAAUUAUUAAUUUAUUUUGAAUUUUAGGGGAAAAAGUUGAGGGAAAAAAUCUAAAGAGACAAUUUUCUAAGCGCUUUUAUCCGUGUUUCUGCUUUACGUUAUUAGUGUAAUUUGACCUGUGGCUGUAACUUUUGUCUAAUUCUUAUGUUCUUAUUUUAAUCUGUUUAAUAAAAAAUCAGAAAUUUUGUGGGUUUAAACUAAUUGAAUGUUUAUUAAUUCAGGUGUGAUUUGAGAGUAGUAAGCGAUGCAAACGUAUUCUUCAUAGAGACAAUCUUGAAACAUCUGGGAAUAAGGAAUUGUUUCUCAGAAAUCAACACAAACCCAGGCUAUGUUGAUGAGGAAGGAAGACUCCAAAUCCUACCUUAUGUUGAUUUUCAAACAUCUCCUCAUGACUGCAAUCUUUGCGCUCCCAACAUGUGCAAGGGUUUGAUAGUAGAGAGAAUACAAGCCGCUAUGGCUAAGGAAGGGAAGAAAAGAAUUAUAUAUCUUGGUGAUGGAAUCGGCGAUUUCUGCCCCAGUUUGAAGCUCAGAGAUCAGAAAAAUCAAGAAGAAGAUUGGAAAAAAUGGGGAAGCCAUUGGGUCGGGUGAGCUAAGUGGGUCGAAAUGGUAUUCAUUUUUGUUUCAGUCAGAGAUUGUCACGUGGCCCAGUAGAAAAAUAACACGUCAUUAAAUGUAGGCCCACCAGUUUUGCCGUUAGUCGCGGGAGUAAUUUUGUUAAUAGAAUUAACGUCGUGUGUUUUUUUGGACGGAUAGAUAGACGGAGGGUAUUUAUAAAUCAUUUAGCAAACGAUAGGGAUAGUGUUGACCCUUCUCCGUUUAAUUUAACAAUAGAAAAAAUUUAUCGUUUUA